UAAAACCAAACGAGGUUACCCCGCCAGAAGAAAUCAAUACAUCUCGCCAGGGCCGACGACGGAGAUUGUGCUAUCUCACCGGAGAUUCGGAAUUCCGGCCGCACCCUUGCUUCUUGACUGCAAGGUGAACUGCAACAUGGCGGUUUCUUUGUGCUUAGCAGGCUGUCCCCCAGCAUCGUCGAGCUCACCGGGGAGGCUGACCGUGGUGGCUGGGCUUAUGUGGAGGCCCAGAAAGGUCGUCGCCACCAAAACUGAGACGGAUCGUACUGACAACUGGUUUGACCGCAUGGCGAUUCGGCAUCUCUCCAAGAGCAUUCAGGCUACUACUGGGAUGGUAAACAGCAAAGAGGGAUAUGAGAGUUUGGUGGAAUCGGCCUCGUCAGUAGCGCACAGAUUCAGCCCCAAAGAGCAGCGGGAAUUGGUGAUCCAAGCAUUGCACAGAGCAUUUCCAAAACCUAUUCUCUCGCUGGCUAAGAUAUUGAUGCCCCAACACAGGCUCACGAGAGAAUGCUUUGCAAUCUUCACCACAAUCUUCUUCCCGUGGCUCGUGGGUCCAUGUGAGGUGAAGGAGUCAGAGUUUGGCGGGAGGAAAGAAAGAAGCACAGUGCACAUCAAGAAAUGCAGGUUUUUGGAGAGUACAAAUUGUGUGGGUAUGUGCAUUAACAUGUGCAAGAUGCCGACUCAGAAAUUCAUAAACGAAUCCCUUGGGAUGCCAGUCAGCAUGGUUCCAGAUUUCGAUGAUAUGAGCUGUGAGUUGAUUUUUGGGCAGAAGCCACCAGAAGCUGAAGACGACCCAGCUCUUAAACAGCCAUGCUACGAAGGCCUCUGUAAGGCAAGGAAAAAGUAUUCUGUGGAUUGCUCUGCCUGACCUCCUGAUGCAUUCCAUGCAAAAGCCUCUCCGAUCAGAGAAUCUCUGCAUUUUAUCAUUAUAGGAAAUCUGGAUCUCAGAAGUUACUGGACAUGGCAAAAUCAAAGUGGUAUUCCCAGCUAAUCCAGGAAGGGGAACCAGUUGGGCAGUGGUUUAUCACCUCAUAUUUGUG